CUAAUCUGUCUGCUGGAUGACAGGAGGCUGGUGCUGCUGGCUGGGGCCAGCAGCAACACUGAUCUUCCCAGCACUGUGUUCAGCCAGUAACACCAGCCUCCUGUCAUUCAGCAGGCAGAUAAG
rnacentral:pre_miRNA from 1 species